rnacentral:rRNA from 1 species
AGGUCCAGCCUGCCCAGUGACAUUGUUCAACGGCCGCGGUAUCCUAACCGUGCGAAGGUAGCGUAAUCACUUGUCCUUUAAAUGAAGACUAGUAUGAAUGGCCCCACGAAAGCUAUACUGUCUCCUUUUUCUAAUCAGUUAAACUAAUCUCCCCGUGAAGAAGCGGGGAUAAACAUAUAAGACGAGAAGACCCUAUGGAGCUUCAAACAACUGAAACACUUGUAUAUCCUCCCCUCACCUACCAACAUUUAACCUCACAUUUUGUUUCUAGUUUUAGGUUGGGGUGACCACGGAGAAAAAACUAACCUCCACGACGAAAGAGACAUCUCUAAACAAAAAGCUACAUCUUUAUGUAUUAACACAUUAACCUUUAUUGACCCAAUAAAUUGAUCAACGAAC